CUCUACAAAAGUUAAAUCCUUUGAUCAAAUUCUCUACCUCUGCCUCUAAAACAUUUCUGAUUCAAUCUAUCACCUCCAAACUUUCUUUGUCUCGCCUGCUUAAGAUCACAAUCCUUUUGUGACCGAUACAACAUACUUUUCCCUCUUUCUUUAUAUCCAAAACAACCUGCUGUAUCUUUCUCAUGUAUCUUCCCAAAAAAUUCAGUUCAAAGAGGGCCAGUCACAGACCAACAGUUUGACCAAAAGUGAACAAGGAGGAAGCAUAUUCCAUAUGAAGGUCGAGAUGACUUAACUCACACCCCCUCUUUGUGUACACC